AUGCCUCCAUGGUGGUUCCUGGUGCAUUUCAUGGCUGCAAUUCUUGCCGUUGAUGUUCAGGGGCGAUAUGAUACUACUGACAGGUACGCCUGUGAUCCUUUCUCUUGCGGCCAUCUCCAAGACAUCCAGUACCCUUUCCGCCUGCGAGGAGAUCUGCGUCUGUGCGGUUUGCCAUCGUACGAGCUGGAUUGCUCCGAUAGCAAGGCUACAAUUCGGAUCAACACAGGGACGUACUUUGUCACGGAUAUCAACUACAAGCAUUCUUACUUCUGGGUCGUGGACGCCAACCUGGACAUGAGCGGCAGCUGCCCUCUUCCUCGCUGGGAUCAGCGCCCUUAUAUAUAUGGCAUCCCUGGGUCCGACGGCUUCGUCGAAUUGUACCCUCGUUCUGUUACAUGGGCUAACUUUGUGAAUUGUUCGCGGGCGGUCACGGACAAUAGUGACUACAUACCGGUAGCUUGCCUGAGAACGAGGUCUUCUUUUGUCUAUGUGUUGAUUGACUCUCUUUAUGUUGGAGAUCUUAAUCCUUACUGCGGGUACUUGGCUGUGGCUGCUUUGGGUGAUCAGAGCGUGCAAUAUAGUAAUGCAAGCCAUGGUGUUUUGGUGGAAACCCUGAGGAGAGGAUUUCCUGUUUGGUUUCCUUUGAAAUAUAAAAGGAGGUAUGGGGGCUUCAAGGAUUGCCUAAAGGAUAAGAUUGUCCCAGUUCCAGGAAAACCAAUGGCUAGUACUCUUGGCAACUGGGAUUGGAUAUGGACCAUUUUUACGGUUGAUUCUGAGAUCUUACAUUGCGCAUUUGGAGCAGACACUUUUCCUUCCAAUGAACACCUUCGCAAACUACAGUCCUCAACAGUAUACUCCAUGUUGAUAUUGAAGUUGAUUGCUGCUCUACGCAGGUUUGUGUUUGCUCCUCUGGUGGUACUGGUCUUCCUAGCCCACAAAUACUGGAAAACAAGGAUCACAAUCGAUGCGGUCGAGAAGUUCCUACGGAUGCAGCAAAUGAUCGGCCCGACAAGGUAUGCCUACACAGAUAUUGUUGCAGUCACAAGCCAUUUCAGAGACAAGCUGGGUCAGGGGGGCUACGGCUCCGUGUAUAAGGGCGUUCUACUCCCAGGCGAUGUCCCUGUGGCCAUCAAGAUGCUUGACGGUAAAUCCAGCUGCGACGGAGAAGAUUUCAUCAGCGAGGUCUCCACCAUCGGUAGGAUCCACCACGUCAAUGUGGUGCGUCUGGUGGGUUUCUGCUCCGAGGAAAUGAGGAGGGCACUAGUCUACGAGUAUAUGCCCCGUGGUUCUCUGGACAAGUACAUCUUCUCGGUCGAAAAGAGUUUUUCCUGGGACAAGCUCAAUGAAAUUGCCUUGGGCAUUGCCAGGGGGAUCAACUACUUGCAUCAAGGCUGUGACAUGCAGAUUUUACACUUUGACAUCAAGCCGCACAACAUCCUUCUUGACAGCAAUUUUGUCCCAAAAGUCGCCGAUUUUGGCCUUGCCAAGCUAUACCCAAGGGAUAACAAUUUUGUGCCGUUGAGCGCCUUACGGGGAACAAUCGGGUACAUGGCUCCUGAAAUGGUAUCCCGGAGCUUCGGCGUCAUAUCCAGCAAGUCCGACGUCUACAGCUUCGGGAUGCUGCUGUUGGAGAUGGCUGGAGGACGCAGGAAUGCUGACCCAAAUGCGGCGAACUCAAGCCAGGCAUUCUACCCAUCGUGGGUGUAUGACCGGCUAACCAAACAUGAACUGGGUGAGAUAUCUGCUGAGAUGCAUGAGUUGGAGAGGAAGCUGUGUCUAGUUGGCCUAUGUUGCAUCCAGAUGAAGUCCCACGAUCGUCCGGCGAUGAGCGAAGUCAUAGAGAUGCUCGAAGGCGGCAGUGAUGUGCUGCAGGUGCCUUCAAGGCCGUUCUUCUGUGAUAGUGGCCACACCCCCCUAGAGGAUUCUUACCAUUUCAUGUCUGAGCUGACUGCCAUUUCGGAGGAGGAUGGGUAA
rnacentral:rRNA from 1 species